rnacentral:rRNA from 1 species
UGGGGAAUAUUGCUCCCUGGGGGCAAACCCUGAACGCAGCACGCCGCGUGAGUGAGGAGGACUUCGGUCUGUAAAGCUCUGUUGAUGUGGAAAAAUGGUAGCUGGUCUAUAGGCCGGCUAUUUGAUGGUACACAUAGAGGAAGCACCGGCUAACUUUCGUGC